AGAAGCCCCAGUUUCGUUUCACUAGGCAGACACACUCGCAGCGGGAAGACAAUGCCACCGCCACCGCCACCGACUUAAUCAGCCCGGGAAACGACAUCUCAAUGCUGGCGAGUGUGUACCUACAUAUGGACAUGGGCGUGCGUUGGUGCGGGAGCUGGUGUAAAUCGGUUUUGGCAGGUACGCCGCUGGCGUCAUUACCCCCCCAGAGGUUGAAUGUCACCGGCGGCAUGACUUGGGGGCCAAGCCGAUAAGGCGCACACUGUCCACUGCACGGUGUACACUGAUAAAAAUAUAUAUCAAGACCAAAUAUUGUUAAAGAUAAUUGAUGUGUAAAGGAAAUACACUUGCAAGUUAAAAUGUUUUC
ensembl:ncRNA lncRNA:CR43411 long non-coding RNA:CR43411